AAAAAACUCAAGCCAAGAAAUCCAUUUCCACAAUUUCUCUUACAGUCACCGCUUCUCUCUCGCUCACCGCUUCAUCGUCAACAAAUCUAAUCGCAGCCCCACUACAAACCCAUCUGGAUGGAAAACCCAUUGAGAAAUCUUGGUCGUCGACCUACACCCAGACUGCAACGUCGUUUUGACUCACCCCAGCAUCAGCAAAUUUCAACAUAAAAAAUCAUAUCAAGCUCCAUUCAUGCCCACUUCUAUUCCUAAGAGCCCGUCUUCUGUCAAUGGCGACAACGGAGGCUAAGCUUGAAGCCAAACCAGAACCAAAAGAAAUUGAAGAGAGUUCUGAACCUCUUUUCAAAUACAAGGUAAUUAAAACU